UACGUAGGGGGCAAGCGUUGUCCGGAUUUAUUGGGCGUAAAGAGCGUGUAGGCGGCCUUACAGGUCAGCUGUGAAAACUCGAGGCUCAACCUCGAGACGUCGGUUGAAACCGUAAGGCUAGAGUCCGGAAGAGGAGAGUGGAAUUCCCGGUGUAGCGGUGAAAUGCGCAGAUAUCGGGAAGAACACCCGUGGCGAAGGCGGCUCUCUGGGACGGUACUGACGCUGAGGCGCGAAAGCUAGGGGAGCAAACGGG
rnacentral:rRNA from 1 species